rnacentral:lncRNA from 1 species
GUGCCCCUGCCUGUGAUCCCAGUCCUAGGAAAACCCUGAAGCUGUGCCUGAGUGCCCAGGGGAGAAAUAGUUUGUUGGGUUUGCUGCUGGUUCUGCUGCUGCCGUCGUUGUCGUGAACGUAUCGCAGCGCGGUGGCAAACUCCUUUUAAAAGUUGUUUGCAUAGUCAUUUGCUCUGCUGCUGCCUGAAGAAGUAGGGUUUUAGCCUCUUGCUGGCCUGCUGAUCCUGUGCUGCCGGAUGGUGCCCGAGCCUUUCAUGUGAGCCCCCCUCCCACCUCCCUUAACGGUGCAAAACCCCCAGGCUGGGCCAAGCCGUGGUGGAGGUGGGCGUGCAGCGGGAGUGAGUUGCUGUGGGUAGAAGAGAGGCUUCAUUUUUGGGGGGUCCCUCUGCUCCCCCAGCCCCAGGCUGUGCACGCGUUGCCCCCCUUGGUGCCAUCCUUCCCCCUCAGCUCAUUUCAGAGCCCAGCUCCGUGUUCCGGGGCCGUUGGGGCCGUUGGAUUCGAAUCCCAAUCCCAGCCGUUGUGCCACCGGCCGGCCCCGCUGCUGGCGCUGGCAGCCAUGGACGCCCCGCAGGCUGUGCCCAGCCGUCCCUCCCUGCUCCAGCUCCUCAGGGGGCUCUUCGGCUACCACCGAAGCGCUCUGGGGACACAGGGGCCCAGAGCGGAGCGCCAAGAGCCGGGCACCACCGGGGACCCUGGCAGCUCGCAGGGAGAGCGGGUCUCACCUGCCCACAGGGAGCCCGGGGGCCAGCAGGGCCCGUACUGGGAGCCCCUGGGGGAUGCGGAGAGGGAGGGCACGGAGCUGCUGCGGGAGCUGCGGGAGCUCAGCCUGGGGGGCUCCCUGGGGAGCAGCAGGAGCUGCCUGAGCGCCGGCACCAGCGACACGGAGCUGGAGGUGGCCGGUGACGGGCAGGAGGCUCCUGCCGGCAGUGGGGCCCAGCAGGAUGCAGCCGGCGGGGUGGCCCCGGCAGAAGCUUUCGGGGACAAAGCUCUGGAGAUGGAUGGGCUCCUCCAAGGUCCGGGUGCUGCUGCUGAAGACAUUACGGGCUCUGCAAGCCCCGAGCUGACAUUUUCUGCGGGCUUUGAUGCUGAAUGGGACAAAGGGCAGCUCCUGAAAGCAGGUCAGGGUGCAGGAUCCUCCAAAGCAGAGCUCUCCAUGUGGAACAGGCUCAUCAGCAUGAACAGACAGCAGUGGGCUUCGCGUAAGCCUCACGCCUCGGGCAGUUCGCUGGGACUGGAGAGCGAAGAGGAGCCGCUUUUGGAGGCGGCUGACGGCAGCCCCGCGACGCUGGAGCUGCGCGCAGAGCCCCGCAGCGCGCUCCCUGCCUACAGGUUUUCUGAAGACAGACUGGGAGAAACUGUUGGCUGCUUUGGGAGAAGCCGGGUGGAGCUGGGAGCAAGCGAUGCAGGAGCCCUUGGAUAA